rnacentral:rRNA from 1 species
AGCAGUCGCCACGGUAAUACGAAGGGUGCAAGCGUUAAUCGGAAUUACUGGGCGUAAAGCGUGCGUAGGCGGUUUGUUAAGUCUGUUGUGAAAUCCCCGGGCUCAACCUGGGAAUGGCAAUGGAUACUGGCAAGCUAGAGUGUGUCAGAGGAUGGUGGAAUUCCCGGUGUAGCGGUGAAAUGCGUAGAGAUCGGGAGGAACAUCAGUGGCGAAGGCGGCCAUCUGGGACAACACUGACGCUGAGGCACGAAAGCGUGGGGAGCAAACAGGAUUAGAUACCCGCGUAGUCCCUGUCUCUUAUAC